GCUGACGAGCGGCGGACGGGUGAGUAAUGCAUAGGAAUCUGCCCGAUAGUGGGGGAUAACCUGGGGAAACCCAGGCUAAUACCGCAUACGUCCUACGGGAGAAAGGGGGCUCCGGCUCCCGCUAUGGGAUGAGCCUAUGUCGGAUUAGCUAGUUGGUGAGGUAACGGCUCACCAAGGCCACGAUCCGUAGCUGGUCUGAGAGGAUGAUCAGCCACAUCGGGACUGAGACACGGCCCGAACUCCUACGGGAGGCAGCAGUGGGGAAUAUUGGACAAUGGGGGAAACCCUGAUCCAGCCAUGCCGCGUGUGUGAAGAAGGCCCUCGGGUUGUAAAGCACUUUCAGCGAGGAAGAACGCCUAGCGGUUAAUACCCGCUAGGAAAGACAUCACUCGCAGAAGAAGCACCGGCUAACUCCGUGCCAGCAGCCGCGGUAAUACGGAGGGUGCAAGCGUUAAUCGGAAUUACUGGGCGUAAAGCGCGCGUAGGUGGCUUGAUAAGCCGGUUGUGAAAGCCCCGGGCUCAACCUGGGAACGGCAUCCGGAACUGUCAAGCUAGAGUGCAGGAGAGGAAGGUAGAAUUCCCGGUGUAGCGGUGAAAUGCGUAGAGAUCGGGAGGAAUACCAG
rnacentral:rRNA from 1 species